AGAUUAUAUGAAUUAUACUUUAAAGAUUCUGAAGAUUUAAAUAAUUACGUUAAAGAAAAUAUAAUUUUGGGGAAAACAAGCGAACUUUCGAAUACUAAAAGUGAUCGGAAAUGCAAUCUUGGAGGAGGAGCGUUAAGCCACGAGGAAAUUUCCAGUGUUCAGCCGGAUCCCGAACUUUUUAGAACUUCGCUUUCCCGAACGUUAACUCUUAAAGAGCAGAAAGAAGUAAAAGAAUAUCUUAAUAAACUUCCAGCUGGAUUUAUACAGAACCA